rnacentral:rRNA from 1 species
AGAGUUUGAUUCUGGCUCAGAACGAACGCUGGCGGCGUGGAUAAGACAUGCAAGUCGAACGAGAGAAUUGCUAGCUUGCUAAUAAUUCUCUAGUGGCGCACGGGUGAGUAACACGUGAGUAACCUGCCCCCGAGAGCGGGAUAGCCCUGGGAAACUGGGAUUAAUACCGCAUAGAAUCGCAAGAUUAAAGCAGCAAUGCGCUUGGGGAUGGCCUCGCGGCCUAUUAGUUAGUUGGUGAGGUAACGGCUCACCAAGGCGAUGACGGGUAGCCGGUCUGAGAGGAUGUCCGGCCACACUGGAACUGAGACACGGUCCAGACACCUACGGGUGGCAGCAGUCGAGAAUCAUUCACAAUGGGGGAAACCCUGAUGGUGCGACGCCGCGUGGGGGAAUGAAGGUCUUCGGAUUGUAAACCCCUGUCAUGUGGGAGCAAAUUAAAAAGAUAGUACCACAAGAGGAAGAGACGGCUAACUCUGUGCCAGCAGCCGCGGUAAUACAGAGGUCUCAAGCGUUGUUCGGAAUCACUGGGCGUAAAGCGUGCGUAGGCUGUUUCGUAAGUCGUGUGUGAAAGGCGCGGGCUCAACCCGCGGACGGCACAUGAUACUGCGAGACUAGAGUAAUGGAGGGGGAACCGGAAUUCUCGGUGUAGCAGUGAAAUGCGUAGAUAUCGAGAGGAACACUCGUGGCGAAGGCGGGUUCCUGGACAUUAACUGACGCUGAGGCACGAAGGCCAGGGGAGCGAAAGGGAUUAGAUACCCCUGUAGUCCUGGCAGUAAACGGUGCACGCUUGGUGUGCGGGGAAUCGACCCCCUGCGUGCCGGAGCUAACGCGUUAAGCGUGCCGCCUGGGGAGUACGGUCGCAAGAUUAAAACUCAAAGGAAUUGACGGGGGCCCGCACAAGCAGCGGAGCAUGUGGUUUAAUUCGAAGCAACGCGAAGAACCUUACCUAGACUUGACAUCUCCUGCAUUACCCUUAAUCGGGGAAGUUCCUUCGGGAACAGGAAGACAGGUGGUGCAUGGUUGUCGUCAGCUCGUGUCGUGAGAUGUUGGGUUAAGUC